rnacentral:tRNA from 1 species
UCCCUGGAGGUCCAGUGGUUAGACCACAGCACUCUCACCACUGCAGCCCGGGUUCGAUUCCCAACCAGGGAA